CUCCUUCGGCUACCGUCGCCAGGUUCUCUCGGUGCACUGUUAUUCCGCGCCUGCGCGCGGCUGGAGUGCCGUCCAUUUUUCCUUUAGUUGGGAAGGACGUUGGUAUUGCGGUUGGCAUACGUAUCAAGGACAGUAACUACCAUGGCACCUGAAGUUUUGCCAAAACCUCAGAUGCGUGGCCUUCUGGCCAGGCGUCUGCGAUUUCAUAUGGUUACAGCAUUCGUGCUAUCCCUGGGAGUUGCAGCUUUGUAUAAGGUUGGUGUGGCUGAUAAAAGAAAGAAGGCAUACGCAGAUUUCUACAGAAACUAUGAUGCCAUGAAAGAUUUUGAGGAGAUGAGGAAGGCUGGUAUCUUUCAGAGUGUAAAGUAAUCUUGGAAUAUAAAGAAUUUCUUCAGGUUGAAUUACCUAGAAGUUUGUCACUGACUCCUGAACUAUGACACAUGAAUAUGUGGGCUAAGAAAUAGUUCCUCUUGAUAAAUAAACAAUUAACAAAUACUUUGGACACAACCAGCCCAAGAAAAAAGGAGAAAAAUCUUUCCUCCACAUAAAUCUAUUCAACAUUAAACUCAGCACUGAAAUAAAAGCUCUGUUUGCCUAGCUCCCAAACCUCUUCAGAUAGAACAUCUUAAAGUGGAGAACACCUCUUUCAAACCAGUGGCUUUGGACAGAGCAUUAAAAAACCUUUUGAACUGUAACAUUUUCUGCUUUUAUAAAUCCUAGGAUUUAAAGCCAGAGAAAAUAGAAAAACUGGGCAGCGGAAGGGGAAAUUUUUAUGGAAAGAAGAGGAUGCAAACUACAUUUAUGGUUCAUAAAAGUCUGGCUCGUCUUCAGUGGAACACAAAUAGAACUGAGAUAUACUAGGUUCUUCAGUGAGAUUUUUCUGAGAAAGCGCUCAUCAAAUCAUUCAAAGGCAGCUGAAGCUAUAAAUUCUUCCCACCCUGAAGUCCUUUAGCUAUCUAGUGUGUAGAUCAAGUGGAGUGGGAAGUUUGCAGUUGUAAGCCACUGAUUUGUGAAUCUCAGGUAGCCACCAAACUUUCUAUGGUUUUUGCCUACUGAACAUUGGCAAGACUACUCUGGAAGAUAUGAUAAUGUAAAGACUUCCUAGUUCUGUGUGUGGUCCAGUAACAAUGCUAUCAAAGUGUCUUAACAGCUGGAGAAAGUCCGUGUGAUGGCACAGAGAUAGUAAAGGGGCUUGCUAGAGAAAUAAGUAAGGAGUCCCUUAGAGUUUGGAUCUUGUGUUUUUAAGCUUGGGGAAAAACGGUCCCCAAAGAUUCAAAGCUCUGCACCACCAGGCAAAAGCCAGAGCUCUGAUAUCAUUUGAUGGGGCCAGAAUUCAGCUGGAAAGCUUUGAAUACACAAAAAGUUUUAAUUGCUCCUCCUGAACAGCAGCACAGGAAAACCCGUGUUGUGAAAGGAACCCAGCCAAGGAAUAAAUUGACCUUCUGACUCAUUUUGAGCCUCUCAUAAGGGAUUUCAAUAAUGUGCCAAGCAUAUUAAGCAAUUAUUACCCCUAAACUGGUUGCAUUUAACCAAGAAAAGCAAAUGCUGAGUUAAAAAAAAAUCUCAAUCCUGCCAUAUUUAAAUGUACUGCAUGAUGUCAUCUACAAAUUAAUUCCUUCCAAAAUUCAAAGGAACUGUAUUUCCUAGCAUCUAAGGCAAAAGCUAAAAACCAGAAAAGUCAUUUAUAGAAGAUCUUAAAAUACUGCUUUUAGUCUUCACUGGAAGUGUUCACAGUAGACAGGCUUCCUUAUGUCUGUGGAUUAUGUUGGGAUGCACUAAAAGACAGCUCAAGAAAGCUCCCUGACAACAUAGCACUGCUGGCCACCCUCCCCCACCCACUCAUGUUGAAAAUACUCCGGAUUACAGCAGUUGGGAGGGUUUAGUCUCAAAGAUGCUCUGCAGCUUGAGUUUUCUUGGGGGUGAGUAGGAGAGGUUGGGGUUACAGACACAGGAUUACGGCAGCAGUUAUUCCUAUUAAGUCAUUAAUAGGAAUAUUAAUGAGAGAGAAAGUGGAAUAGAGAAAGCAGAAUGUGGAGGCUGAAGGCGCACUGGCCCAUCCACCUUCCAGCCAGUGCCUGGCCUUGGCUGUGCAGGCACAGUGCUCCUGCUCUCAGUCAUGUCUUCCCACCUCUGUUUUAGGCAUUCCUUAAUCCCAACCCUCUUUCAGCCCUGGACAGCAAUGGAAAAUCAGUGUUGAAAAUGGUAUCCAGAGCUUCAGUGCUGCUUCCUCAUUCCACAGUCCCAAUAAUCUUGGCAACUUUUAGGAGUGGUGACUCCAGAUACUAUCUCAACCCCUAGGGAAACUGAGGUCUGUUUCCUUCCAGCCUAUGAUGAUUCUCCACAGUAC